AACGUAGGAGACAAACGUUAUCCGGAGUUACUGGGCGUAAAGGGCGUGUAGGUGGUUAUGUAAGUUCGGCGUGAAAUCUCUCGGCUUAACCGGGAGUGGUCGUCGGAUACUGCACAACUAGAGGACGGUAGAGGCGUGUGGAAUUCCGGGUGUAGUGGUGAAAUGCGUAGAGAUCCGGAGGAACACCAGUGGCGAAAGGCGGCGAUCUGGGUCGAUACUGACGCUGAGGUGCGAAAGCGUGGGGAGCAAACAGG
rnacentral:rRNA from 1 species